CCUACGGGAUGCUGCAGUGGGGAAUAUUGGACAAUGGGCGAAAGCCUGAUCCAGCCAUGCCGCGUGUGUGAAGAAGGCCUUCGGGUUGUAAAGCACUUUCAGUGGGGAAGAAAGCCUUGGGGCUAAUACCCUCGAGGAAGGACAUCACCCACAGAAGAAGCACCGGCUAACUCCGUGCCAGCAGCCGCGGUAAUACGGAGGGUGCGAGCGUUAAUCGGAAUUACUGGGCGUAAAGCGCGCGUAGGCGGUCUGAUAAGCCGGUUGUGAAAGCCCCGGGCUCAACCUGGGAACGGCAUCCGGAACUGUCAGGCUAGAGUGCAGGAGAGGAAGGUAGAAUUCCCGGUGUAGCGGUGAAAUGCGUAGAGAUCAGGAGGAAUACCAGUGGCGAAGGCGGCCUUCUGGACUGACACUGACGCUGAGGUGCGAAAGCGUGGGUAGCAAACAGGAUUAGAUACCCCUGUAGUC
rnacentral:rRNA from 1 species